GACGAACGCUGGCGGAGUGCUUAACACAUGCAAGUCGAACGAAGUGGCGAACGGGUGAGUAACGCGUAAUCAACCUGCCCUUCAGAGGGGGACAACAGUCGGAAACGACUGCUAAUACCGCAUACUGAAGGCGGGGAUUGCGUCUGAUUCGCUAGUUGGAGGGUUAACGGCCCACCAAGGCGAUGAUCAGUCGCCGGGCUGAGAGGAUGAACGGCCAAAAUGGGACUGAGACACGGCCCAGACUCCUACGGGAGGCAGCAGUGGGGAAUCUUCCGCAAUGGACGAAAGUCUGACGGAGCAACGCCGCGUGAGUGAUGACGGCCUUCGGGUUGUAAAGCUCUGUUAAUCGGGACGCGGUACCGGAAUAGAAAGCCACGGCUAACUACGUGCCAGCCGCCGCGGUAAUUC
rnacentral:rRNA from 1 species